rnacentral:lncRNA from 1 species
UGCCCUUUUUACCGAUGUUUAAAAUUUUGCGUAGCUAAUUGUGCUCUUUACCUAUGUAAAAUUUUGCACAUGUAAAUGUUGCGUCGGCAAAAGCCCUAUUUCUUGUAGUGAGUUCUCUCCGGCGGUUCGAUAAUUACACUCCUUUUUUUUUAUCCAUCCCCCAAUCUUAAUUUCUGAUGGAGAUUGAGGGUCAAGGAUACCUACAGUGACCCAGGCCAAUGAAGUCCCCUCU